rnacentral:rRNA from 1 species
AUUGAACGCUGGCGGCAGGCCUAACACAUGCAAGUCGAGCGGAUGAAGGGAGCUUGCUCCUGGAUUCAGCGGCGGACGGGUGAGUAAUGCCUAGGAAUCUGCCUGGUAGUGGGGGAUAACGUCCGGAAACGGGCGCUAAUACCGCAUACGUCCUGAGGGAGAAAGUGGGGGAUCUUCGGACCUCACGCUAUCAGAUGAGCCUAGGUCGGAUUAGCUAGUUGGUGGGGUAAAGGCCUACCAAGGCGACGAUCCGUAACUGGUCUGAGAGGAUGAUCAGUCACACUGGAACUGAGACACGGUCCAGACUCCUACGGGAGGCAGCAGUGAGGAAUAUUGGACAAUGGGCGAAAGCCUGAUCCAGCCAUGCCGCGUGUGUGAAGAAGGUCUUCGGAUUGUAAAGCACUUUAAGUUGGGAGGAAGGGCGGUAAGUUAAUACCUUGCUGUUUUGACGUUACCAACAGAAUAAGCACCGGCUAACUUCGUG